GUGAAGAGGGAAAAGCUCAAAUUUUGAAUCUGGCGGUCUUUUGGUCGUCCGAGUUGUAAUCUAGAGAAGCGUCUUCCGCGCUGGACCGUGUAUAAGUUUCCUGGAAUGGAACGUCGUAGAGGGUGAGAAUCCCGUCUUUGACACGGACUACCAGGGCUAUGUGAUGCGCUCUCGACGAGUCGAGUUGUUUGGGAAUGCAGCUCAAAUAGGGUGGUAAAUUCCAUCUAAAGCUAAAUAUAGGCGAGAGACCGAUAGCGAACAAGUACCGUGAGGGAAAGAUGAAAAGAACUUUGGAAAGAGAGUUAAACAGUACGUGAAAUUGCUGAAAGGGAAACGCUUGAUGUCAGUCGCGUCGGCCGGGGAUCAGCCUUGCUUAACCGCUCGGCGUACUUCCUGGCAGACGGGUCAGCAUCAGUUUUGACCGUCGGAAAAUGGCUCGGGGAAUGUGGCACUCUUUCGGGAGUGUGUUAUAGACUCGAGUCGAAUGCGAUGGUUGGGACUGAGGAACUCAGCACGACCUUAGGGUUCGGGACUUUGGUCCACGUUUGCGUGCUUAGGAUGCUGGCAUAAUGGCCUUAAGCGACCCGUCUUGAAACACGGACCAAGGAGUCUAACAUGCAUGCGAGUGUUUGGGCGAUGAAAAACCCGAGCGCGUAAUGAAAGUGAAAGUCGAGACCUCUGUCGUG
rnacentral:rRNA from 1 species